CCGUCAUCUGUUCAAACUACAACGUCUUACAAAACUGGGAGGUUGUGCUGGCUCUACCAUUCAUUCCCCUCUGAGCGGUUAAAGACAACUUGCCAUCUACCAUUCUUCUUUCUGGGCCUUGGCAGUCAGCCCUCAAAAGCUUCUGACAAGAUGCAAGAGGACAUAACCCUGAAAAAGAAAAACCUACAACACCCGCAAAGGCCUACAUACAGCCCCAGAUAUAUCUCUUUACACAGAAGCCUACAACUCCCCCAUAACUAUUAAGACAAAGUAAACAAGUUACCAUCCAAGUUACAGAAAACCACCACCAUGUUGCCGACCUCAAGGAAUGUUACCGCACCGCAUGCUCUCCCUGCAGCCUUUCUUGCACACUGGCAUGCUGGUCUAGGAGCCGCUAUCUAUCCUCUCCACAAUGCCUGCUCGCCUCCUCCGCGCAGUUGACAAGCCAAGCCGCCAGCUAGCUUCAUCACCAACUCGCUCUCGCUCCACCAUCCUGGAACCCUUUCCCAGCUUC
rnacentral:lncRNA from 1 species